rnacentral:rRNA from 1 species
CCAUAUACGACCGUACCGCAAACCGACACUGGUGCGCGAGAUGAGUAUUCUAAGGCGCUUGAGAGAACUCAGGAGAAGGAACUCGGCAAAUUGACACCGUAACUUCGGAAGAAGGUGUGCCCUAUUAGUGUGUAGUGAACAACGAAGCAUGAAUGGGUUGCAAAAAAUCGGUGGCUGCGACUGUUUAUUAAAAACACAGCACUCUGCAAACACGAAAGUGGACGUAUAGGGUGUGACGCCUGCCCGGUGCUGGAAGAUUAAAUGAUGGGGUGCAAGCUCUUGAUUGAAGUCCCAGUAAACGGCGGCCGUAACGAUAACGGUCCUAAGGUAGCGAAAUUCCUUGUCGGGUAAGUUCCGACCUGCACGAAUGGCGUAACGAUGGCCACACUGUCUCCUCCUGAGACUCAGCGAAGUUGAAAUGUUUGUGAUGAUGCAAUCUCCCCGCGGAAAGACGGAAAGACCCCAUGAACCUUUACUGUAGCUUUGUAUUGGACUUUGAACAGAUCUGUGUAGGAUAGGUGGGAGGCUUUGAAGCAGGGUCGCUAGAUCUUGUGGAGCCAACGUUGAAAUACCACCCUGGUGUGUUUGAGGUUCUAACCUAGGUCCAUUAUCUGGAUCGGGGACAGUGCAUGGUAGGCAGUUUGACUGGGGCGGUCUCCUCCCAAAGCGUAACGGAGGAGUUCGAAGGUACGCUAGUUACGGUCGGACAUCGUGACGAUAGUGCAAUGGCAUAAGCGUGCUUAACUGCGAGACUGACAAGUCGAGCAGAUGCGAAAGCAGGACAUAGUGAUCCGGUGGUUCUGUAUGGAAGGGCCAUCGCUCAACGGAUAAAAGGUACUCUGGGGAUAACGGGCUGAUACCGCCCAAGAGUUCAUAUCGACGGCGGUGUUUGGCACCUCGAUGUCGGCUCAUCUCAUCCUGGGGCUGUAGCCGGUCCCAAGGGUAUGGCUGUUCGCCAUUUAAAGAGGUACGUGAGCUGGGUUUAAAACGUCGUGAGACAGUUUGGUCCCUAUCUUCCGUGGGCGCUGCAGAUUUGAGGAAGCCUGCUCCUAGUACGAGAGGACCGGAGUGGACACACCUCUGGUGUAUCGGUUGUCACGCCAGUGGCAUUGCCGAGUAGCUAAGUGUGGAAGAGAUAACCGCUGAAAGCAUCUAAGCGGGAAACUCGUUUCAAGAUGAGAUCUGCCGGGGCCUUGAGCCCCCUAAAGAGUCGUUCAAGACCAGGACGUUGAUAGGUCAGGUGUGGAAGCCAAAAA